rnacentral:rRNA from 1 species
UACGAAGGGGGCUAGCGUUGUUCGGAAUUACUGGGCGUAAAGGGCGCGUAGGCGGUCCGAUAAGUCCCGUGUGAAAUCCCUCGGCUCAACUGAGGAACUGCACGGGAAACUGACGGGCUUGAGUUCGGGAGAGGGAAGCGGAAUUCCGGGUGUAGCGGUGAAAUGCGUAGAUAUCGGGAGGAACACCAGUGGCGAAGGCGGCUUUCUGGUCUGCUCUUGACGCUGAGGCGCGAAAGCUAGGGUAGCAAACGGG